AUGACUCGCUUUGCUGAGACACGUGUCCCCCAAGCAGAAUGAUUAGCGCUCCAGCAGAAUACGAUAUUGGUGGAUAAUCAAAAGCGGAUGGCAGAUCGUUUGGACUAAUGGGAAGCAGGGUUCACGUCAGCCUCUCUGGAAGUUCCCACGAAGAAUAAAUAAUAAAUCAACAUCCUGGUGACAGCCCUUGGUUUGACCAGCUGAGGCUAAUUUACGGUCUGUUGCAAGAUUUCUUUUGGAGUCAUCCUGAAUUCUUUUGCAAGCAAAGUUUCUGAGAGUUCUGAGACAAGACAGUUCCUAGUACCAUCAGAAGCAAAGGCAACAUAAUUCUGAAUUUGCUUUGUGAGGCUGGCAUUUGGGGAAAUGUAAUAAAUUAUUUUGAUACAUCUGCUAGUAAA